GACGAACGCUGGCGGCGUGCUUAACACAUGCAAGUCGAACGGAAAGGCCCUGCUUUUGUGGGGUGCUCGAGUGGCGAACGGGUGAGUAACACGUGAGUAACCUGCCCUUGACUUUGGGAUAACUUCAGGAAACUGGGGCUAAUACCGGAUAGGAGCUCCUGCUGCAUGGUGGGGGUUGGAAAGUUUCGGCGGUUGGGGAUGGACUCGCGGCUUAUCAGCUUGUUGGUGGGGUAGUGGCUUACCAAGGCUUUGACGGGUAGCCGGCCUGAGAGGGUGACCGGCCACAUUGGGCCUGCGAUAGGGCCCAGACUCCUACGGGAGGCAGCAGUGGGGAAUAUUGCACAAUGGGCGGAAGCCUGAUGCAGCAACGCUGCGUGCGGGAUGACGGCCUUCGGGUUGUAAACCGCUUUCGCCUGUGACGAAGCGGGAGUGACGGUAAUGGGUAAAGAAGCACCGGCUAACUACGUG
rnacentral:rRNA from 1 species